CGCCCUGUUAACAAAAACAUGUCCUUUUGAAUAUAUUUAAGGUCUAACCUGCCCAAUGAGGAUUUAAAUGGCCGCAGUAUUUUGACUGUGCAAAGGUAGCAUAAUUAUUAGUUUUUUAAUUGAAAGCUUGUAUGAAGGGUUGGACGAGAUAAAAUCUGUCUUUAUUUAAAUUAAAGUAGAAUUUAACUUUUAAGUCAAAAGGCUUAAAUGUUAGUAAAAGACGAGAAGACCCUAUAGAUCUUUAUUUAAUUAAUACUUUAAUAAUUUAGGAUUAAUUUAAUUUAAAGUUUUAAUUAAAUUUUAUUGGGGUAAUAUAAAGAUUAAAUAAAUUCUUUUUAUUUAUUACAUUGAUUUAUGAAUAAAUGAUCCAAUAUUAUUGAUUAUAAGAUUAAGUUACCUUAGGGAUAACAGCGUAAUUUUUUUGGAGAGCUCAUAUCGAUAAAAAAGUUUGCGA
rnacentral:rRNA from 1 species